AUUGAACGCUGGCGGCAGGCCUAACACAUGCAAGUCGAACGGUAACAGGAAGAAGCUUGCUUCUUUGCUGACGAGUGGCGGACGGGUGAGUAAUGUCUGGGAAACUGCCUGAUGGAGGGGGAUAACUACUGGAAACGGUAGCUAAUACCGCAUAACGUCGCAAGACCAAAGAGGGGGACCUUAGGGGCUUUUGCCCUCGGGGGUGCCCCGAUGGGAUUCGCUAGUAGGUGGGGUAACGGCCCACCUAGGCGACGAUCCCUAGCUGGUCUGAGAGGAUGACCAGCCACACUGGAACUGAGACACGGUCCAGACUCCUACGGGAGGCAGCAGUGGGGAAUAUUGCACAAUGGGCGCAAGCCUGAUGCAGCCAUGCCGCGUGUAUGAAGAAGGCCUUCGGGUUGUAAAGUACUUUCAGCGGGGAGGAAGGGAGUAAAGUUAAUACCUUUGCUCAUUGACGUUACCCGCAGAAGAAGCACCGGCUAACUCCGUG
rnacentral:rRNA from 1 species